rnacentral:rRNA from 1 species
GAUGAACGCUGGCGGCGUGCUUAACACAUGCAAGUCGAACGGAAAGGCUCCUGCUUGCAGGGGUACUCGAGUGGCGAACGGGUGAGUAACACGUCGGUGAUCUGCCCUGCACUUCGGGAUAAGCCUGGGAAACUGGGUCUAAUACCGGAUAGGACCACAUUUUGGAUGGUGUGGUGGAAAGUUUUUCGGUGUGGGAUGAGCUCGCGGCCUAUCAGCUUGUUGGUGGGGUAAUGGCCUACCAAGGCGUCGACGGGUAGCCGGCCUGAGAGGGUGUACGGCCACAUUGGGACUGAGAUACGGCCCAGACUCCUACGGGAGGCAGCAGUGGGGAAUAUUGCACAAUGGGCGCAAGCCUGAUGCAGCGACGCCGCGUGGGGGAUGACGGCCUUCGGGUUGUAAACUCCUUUCGCUAGGGACGAAGCGUUUUUGUGACGGUACCUGGAGAAGAAGCACCGGCUAACUACGUG